CAGCCGCCGCGGUAAUACAGAGGAUGCAAGCGUUAUCCGGAAUGAUUGGGCGUAAAGCGUCUGUAGGUGGCUUUUCAAGUCCGCCGUCAAAUCCCAGGGCUCAACCCUGGACAGGCGGUGGAAACUACCAAGCUGGAGUACGGUAGGGGCGGAGGGAGUUUCCGGUGGAGCGGUGAAAUGCGUUGAGAUCGGAAAGAACACCAACGGCGAAAGCACUCUGCUGGGCCGGCACUGACACUGAGAGACGAAAGCUAGGGGAGCAAAUGGGAUUAGAUACCCCGGUAGUCCCUGUCUCUUAUAC
rnacentral:rRNA from 1 species